UGGGGAAUAUUGCACAAUGGGCGCAAGCCUGAUGCAGCCAUGCCGCGUGUAUGAAGAAGGCCUUCGGGUUGUAAAGUACUUUCAGCGGGGAGGAAGGUGUUGUGGUUAAUAACCACAGCAAUUGACGUUACCCGCAGAAGAAGCACCGGCUAACUCCGUGCCAGCAGCCGCGGUAAUACGGAGGGUGCAAGCGUUAAUCGGAAUUACUGGGCGUAAAGCGCACGCAGGCGGUCUGUCAAGUCGGAUGUGAAAUCCCCGGGCUCAACCUGGGAACUGCAUCCGAAACUGGCAGGCUUGAGUCGUGUAGAGGGGGGUAGAAUUCCAGGUGUAGCGGUGAAAUGCGUAGAGAUCUGGAGGAAUACCGGUGGCGAAGGCGGCCCCCUGGACAAAGACUGACGCUCAGGUGCGAAAGCGUGGGGAGCAAACA
rnacentral:rRNA from 1 species